UACGAAGGGUGCAAGCGUUACUCGGAAUUACUGGGCGUAAAGCGUGCGUAGGUGGUUUGCUAAGUCGGAUGUGAAAGCCCCGGGCUCAACCUGGGAAUGGCAUUCGAGACUGACAGACUAGAGUGCGGUAGAGGACGGUGGAAUUCCCGGUGUAGCGGUGAAAUGCGUAGAGAUCGGGAGGAACACCAGUGGCGAAGGCGGCCGUCUGGGCCAGCACUGACACUGAAGCACGAAAGCGUGGGGAGCAAACAGG
rnacentral:rRNA from 1 species